rnacentral:rRNA from 1 species
AGGAUCAUUACUGAGUUGUCGGCAUGAGCUGUUGCUGGUCCUCUAAACAAGGGGGCAUGUGCACGCUAUGUUCACACAUCCACUCACACCUGUGCACCCCCCGUGGUUCUAUGGUAUGGAAGGCUCACCGUCUUCUUUCUGUAGUUCCACGUCUUUACACAUACACCGUAGUUAAGUCUUAUGGAAUGCAUACCGCGUUUAACGCAAUACAAUACAACUUUCAGCAACGGAUCUCUUGGCUCUCGCAUCGAUGAAGAACGCAGCGAAAUGCGAUAAGUAAUGUGAAUUGCAGAAUUCAGUGAAUCAUCGAAUCUUUGAACGCACCUUGCGCCCCUUGGCUAUUCCGAGGGGCAUGCCUGUUUGAGUAUCAUGAACACCUCAACUCUAACGGUUCACCCGUGACGAGCUUGGACUUCUGGAGGUUUUGCUGGCCUGUGGUCGGCUCCUCUCAAACGGAUCAGCUUACCAGUGUUUGGUGGCGCCAUGGGUGUGAUAACUAUCUACUCCUGCGGCCGUCUGCCAGGAGACCUUCAGUGAUGGGGGUUGGCUGGGGCUUACAAAUGUCUCUCCUCAGCGAGGACAGCUUUUUUAACGUUCGAUCUCAAAUCAGGUAGGACUACCCGCUGAACUUAA